rnacentral:lncRNA from 1 species
GACCUAAAAAUUUAAUUAGGAAAAAUACAACCAAUCUUUGAUCUAAUUUUAAGUAGAAUUUUGAUUUAAAAUUUAUUUUUUGAAUUAUAAUUGAUAUAAUAGUAUAAUUUUGAAUAAUAAGUUCUGAAGAGUCUCCUCAGGGUUAAUCAAUUUUUUGUUCAAUAUUCUGAGAAAGGUAAGUCAUGAACCAUCUUUUUGAGAUAUUUUAUAAUUUAUUUUGAAAAUAAAUAAUUAUUUUUUGAAAUUAUG